rnacentral:misc_RNA from 1 species
GAUGAAGAACGCAACGAAAUGCGAUAAGUAAUGUGAAUUGCAGAAUUCAGUGAAUCAUCGAAUCUUUGAACGCAUCUUGCGCUCCUUGGUAUUCCGAGGAGCAUGCCUGUUUGAGUGUCAUUAAAGUUCUCAACCACAUUACUACAUAUGUGGCUUGGAUGUGGGGGUUUGCAGGCUUUCUCUGAGGGUCUGCUCCUCUGAAAUGCAUUAGUGGUAUUCCUGAGCUUUACUACAGAUGUGAUAAUUCAUCUACAUCCCAAAAGUAUGCUUCAGCAACACCGCUCCUAACAAGCGAAAGCACAUUUUGAUGAAUUUGACCUCAAAUCAGGUAGGACUACCCGCUGAACUUAAGCAUAUCAAUAAGCGGAGA